rnacentral:rRNA from 1 species
CCACCUACGGGACGCAGCAGUGAGGGAUAUUGGUCAAUGGGGGAAACCCUGAACCAGCAACGCCGCGUGAGGGAAGACGGUUUUCGGAUUGUAAACCUCUGUCCUCUGUGAAGAUAAUGACGGUAGCAGAGGAGGAAGCUCCGGCUAACUACGUGCCAGCAGCCGCGGUAAUACGUAGGGAGCGAGCGUUGUCCGGAUUUACUGGGUGUAAAGGGUGCGUAGGCGGGUAGGCUAGUCAGAAGUGAAAUCCGUGGGCUUAACCCAUGAACAGCAUUUGAAACUGUUUAUCUUGUGUGGAGUAGAGG